rnacentral:lncRNA from 1 species
AUGAAUGGCAAGGCGGAUGUCCAACCCAAAUCCCCCUUCCGCCUCCACCGGCCUAACGCAAACGGAUGCCUCCGUCGCUGUUGCCGCUCCUUCCGCUCCAUCGGGUCCAAUCACCCAGACGACGCGCUCAGCUUAGUGAGUCCAUCAGACAAAAGGAGAUGGCAAUCAAUCAGGCUGCGGGGCGGUUCCGAACCAUGAUAGACGGCUACAAGCACCGGUUCCUAAGCUUACCGCACGCGCGUCUGGUGUCAAAAGGCCCCAAAAAAAAAAAAAAAAAAUUUGUUUUGUCAAAAGCUUCAGUUUCUGUACUCUUAUACUUACCUCUGGUGAGCGUAUUCAAGAAAUCGAACCGGCCAAUCUCGUGAGUGGGCUUCUACUUAGGUGUGAUCGAACAGGCCGGACCGGCUUGAGUUGGGCCGACUUGGCCCAUAUUCUCUUACCCGUAAAGCGAGACAUCAACACCGUCCCUUGGCUUACUGCAGACACCAUCGAGGUGAGCGUAUUAUUUCAGAUGUCAAAUCCGAGGGGUUGGGUCUCUGUUCUUAGUCUUACUAGAGAUGGCCGGAUUCAGAUGUCACCAUUAUCUGCCCACCACCGAUCUGCUCGUGUCACCAAAGAAGAUUAGGAGGUAGUCGAAGGAGAGGUAGUAUAUCGCUCGCGCUGCUUCCGCCUGAAAUGUGAGAAAAAGGAUUGCGCAAGAGGCGGCUGGAGGAGAGGAGGAGAUGGUGGUGGUCUUCCUAUUCGUUUUCGGGGAUUCGGAUAGGACAGUAUAAGAGGCAAUCUCCCAAAUAGAUGGAUUCCACUUGGAAGGCACACUUGUGUCGAGUCAGGAGAAAGCUACCGGCCUCGACGACGGUUAGUAGAUUUGUGAUAGAAAAAUACAAGGUAAAUCCAGUGGGUUCCUUGUUUCUCCAUGACAAUCUUGGGUAGAAAAAUCUAGUGGUUCCUUAUUUCUCUCAGUCAAGACAGCCUCGGAAAACCCAGUAUUCGCAGGCAUCAAAUGUUAAACGACAAUUGAUGAUCGGAAAAAAAAAAAAAGUGGCCUUGUACACCGACGACGCCAAUAAUGGCACACGAGAAAAACAGGCUCUGACGAUCUUAACCAGCAGCAGCAGAUUCAUGUACUAUAUAUAAAUGAGCUACUCACAAUUGUCUGAGGGAGUAACAUUGCAUAGGAAGGGAAGUGGUAUAAAAGGAGUGCUUUGAGCCACCACCCAUUGAUACGAUUAAAGUGGAACGCGUGAUUGCAAACACCUAAGCAGAUGAGCAUAGAGUCAACAGAAAGAAUUGCACAGAAGACGGAGGCAGCGAAGCAUUUGAUGUUUGGAACAUAUACAAAGAAUGUAUGACUCACUGGCUGGCUCAAUGGACCCCUACUGCCAAAUCACAAAUAGAAAGCAACUGUUCAAACAUCUUAGAUAAAAAAAAAGAAAUAUAGAGAGAAAACAACUUUUACCAACUUUGAAACCAAACCAGAAUCGAAUGUGUUGGCUAGGUUAAGCCUUGACAGUUGUUCGUAAGGUCCUCGAAUCGAAUCCCGUCUUCACCUAUAUUACCAUUUGCAGAUUAAAAAAAAAAGAAAACAAUCAGAUUGUAUUAUGGAUGUAAUUUCAGUGGCAGCAUCAUACAUUGUGGCUGAUAAUUUCACUCGCAUGGCUCAGCUUCAACUAAAGCACAAAAAAUGACAGACAAAAUUAGACCAAUAAACAUUUACAAGUAAGUCUCUAUCACAAUGAUCUAAUGAAGCUUUUCCAAAUCCAUUUCUUAUAUAUCUCGAUCCGACAGGCAAAGGAACUGAAUGUACAAGCAACCAUGCUACCAUACCAAUGUAUAACCAAUUUUUAAUCAUUUAAUGCCGAAGUUUUUGUAUGCUUUUAGUUCAUAGUGUCGUUAUCUAUGUUUGAUAGAAUUCUAAUGCUGCCAAGAGAUUCAGUUGAUGCAAGAACAAAUAAAAUCGAUACAUCACAGAUUCAGUUGAGUUAAAACCCCAGUGAACUCAAACUCACUCGGCAGGCAGGACAUUGAUGGGUAACUAACUAACUAACUAACUAACUAACUAGGCAUCGAGAGUUUGGUCCAAAAUGAAUUCAAUGUUUCUAAAAUAGCGUUGGUCUCGGAGGCUCGAUCAGAAUUCUAAAUUAUGCUGGUUAAACUGUGGGACGAAUUGAUGUCUGAACCAAUAUUUGUGAGCAAACGAAUUCGAUCGAAACAGGAAACCUAUAAUAACACUAAUUUUCGGCAACAAAAUAGAAUGUUACGAUAUUGAGAUAAAUGACACUCUCGAGAAACAUACUAAUUUGCGGCAUACAAAAUUUUCAUGAAAGUUAAAACCAUAUAGGAGGAUCGUUCAAGACAAGAAAGCCGAAAAGAACUCGCAUCGCGCGAGUAACAAAACGUGAGGCAUACGCACUCGCGUGUAUAGGCUGGCGCUCAACGCCUGCUGCAAGGAGAUUUCAGAACCAAGAACAACCAGAUCUGAAAGUCCAACCAUAUACAUAAACCUAAAGAAUCACCAAAACAUGCGACCAAGACGGAGCAAAUCAAGAAAAUAUACAAGGGGAAAGGCAGGUCACAGAGGACCAGGAUGUGAUUCCCACAAUUAUCCACCACGACAUCAUAUCGGUCAAUCAAUUGGAAAGAUCCACGGAUAAAGAAUCAAGACCCCAAGUGAAACAAUCCAAUACAAAGUGCAAAGCGCCAUCGGCGAUCGGACACAUACCCCAGGCCCAGAGGGCGAUAGCAUUCCACUUGUUGAUCCCAAACGUGUUCCGCUUCUUCGAUAAGGACGACUACCCGGCGGCGCCACUGGACCGUUCGCGGGCCGGAACCAUGUUGAUGUCGGUGCGGAGGGAAGCCAUGGAUGGAAGCGAGGAGGAGGGUUUGGUGAUGCCGAGGAGGGGCACCGCAUGAUCGCCGAGCUUCUAAAUCAUUAUGAUAUGAAUAAUAAUAAUAUUAUUAUUAUUAAAGGGUUGUCAUGUGUUUGGGUCGUUUCACGUGAGUGAGAUGGACAUCGUACUUUGCCCAACAAAAAUUAUUUGAUGGCGCACCGUACCGUACCGCACCGGCAAAGCAAAGUGUGGCUUACGUCCCAAGUGCCGUGAGAGCCGACUGGGCGUGCUACAACAAAAAUUAUUCCGUUUUUAAUUUCUAUAAUUCAGAAAGCGAUGAAGAAUAUAGUAGUUUAUGUGACGACCCCACCACCAAAUCGUUCGACGGCCAAUUAAAUUCCACGUCAAGCCCCCCCCCAAAACACACAAUAACACAAUAAUAAUACCAUCUACCACCUGCGGAGAUCCGGUUAAGCAUUGAUCCCUCCGAGCCGAACCUUGAAAUCAAAUCCACGUCGAAAAAAAGUACAAGACAGUGCGCUUGGCUUCGAAGCAAGAAGACAAGUGAAGAGAGCUUCCAUGGAUGUGGUGUGGUGUGGUGUGGUAUGAUGUGAGUAUAGUGUAUGAUACAAAAGUUGAGGUCUUCUUCCAUCACGCGCUUGGCUUGUUGGCUUGGAUCGACGAAGCAGGAUGAGUUGCUGCUCCCUUGGAAACUCCACCCGCUGCAUUCUUGGUGGCGACGCUGGAUUUCGACGCUCCGUCGCAAGCGGGUUGUGCAUCUCGGUUGGCUACCUUGGAAGCAGGUUUCAGGGUGGGAAUGUCGAACUCGAGUCCGUCUUCUAUGUCAUUAUCUUUGACAGCACGGGGAUGAUGCCUGCGCCGGGAUCCAGACUUUGGCUCCGACAUCAGUCGAGCGCAUAGCCGUCCGGCGACGCAUGCGAUGAUGGCCAGCACAGCAAUCACUCCGAGUACGAUGAAGACGGGGCCGAACGAGCCCUUGGAGUCCGAGGAUGAAAUCGGCGUCGACUGGGGAAGCGACGACAUGUUUUCCCUGUGUUGUGUCCGGGGUGAAGAGGAGCAACCUGCCUGCUACGGAGAAAGGGGAGUCGAGUCUCGUGGGUGGCGAUGGCUGUGAAUGUGGCCAACUUAUGGAUGAUGGAAAGCAGGUGGAAGGGGCUUUGUUUGUUCAAGAGCCAUGAUAUUCUCGAACUCUUUUCUCCAGCUUUCCAGCUUUUGAAUGCUCGGAAGGAGAGAAAGCUGGGGGAAUAUAUGGGGAGGCUUUGGAGCUGGCCAGCAACCGUAGGGGAUUUAAAGCUUUAAGAGUUUGAGAUGUUGGAUCAAAAGAAGGGGACGAGAUCAUUGUUCUGUCCCUUUUAGCAGACGACGGUGGGAGUGGGGGCUAAACCCCAGAUUCCAGAUGGCUUGUCGGACUAACAAAUGCCAGCCUACAACCAACGAUACGCUAGCUUAUUACUAGUUACUUUAGGAUUAAGCUUGACGGAGAAGCUGCUCGUACGAAAAAGAGUCGUAUAACAUCUUUUGAGGGAGGGGGGGACUCACGAUCGCGGAGAGCAUCAUGUCUGCGUGCUCUUCUUUGACUGGGCCACGAUCGACAGUUUUGGUUUUUGCUUUGAAGAACCCAACCUGCAAAAGAAAAGCUCAAGAAACACGGAGGAGGAGCAGAGCUGAGCUGCACCAUGAAAGAACGAGCCAGCCCUGAUCCCAUCCUUCACGUCAGUUCAGUCGUGUAAACUCCUUGAAGAAUUGACCCUUGGGAUGUCUGGCAGGCAUGGUGAAGGGUUACGCCAGCAAGCUGCAACAUCAGCUAAAAUGAUAUCAAUACCGGGUUCUUCAAAGGAGACUAAAAUGGAAGGGAACCGAUCUAAUAGAUCGAAUAGGUGAUCGGCAUUCAAUGAUUCAUAACCACAAAACCUCUUCGAAAGCCAGUUCGAUCGAUUCAUCUGAAAACUCAGCGAAGCCUCAACACCGAGGCUUCUCCUUUUCCUUGAACAGUGCCAACAGGGACACACCACAAACCUUCACCACCUUGAACCGUACUCCGGGGAUGUCACCGUCUGCAUGGCCUUUCCGUCCAAAUCCAGCAAUCAAGACCUCGUCCUGUGAAAACAAUGCAAACGGAGGACAUACUCGUGAGAAGCAGAUGGUACUGACGAGCAAGGACAUUAGAACUUGCGGGCACUCAGAAAUAUGCUCAGAGCGGAUCCUGAGAGAGAUGUCAUGCAAUGCUGAGAAUGAACAUUUACAACCUCAGCGAUGUGUGCCUGGUUGGAACGCAUACCGGUGUCGACUGGUGCAUACAGGUGUGAGCAAGACCACCACAGUAAUGUCUCCUAACAUCAAAUCUUUGAUAACAAGUCCACUAGAUCAGUCUUUGGAGACAUCAAUCGCACAUGAAAUUUCUAGGCAAACCAAACCCCAACUUACGUUUUCUUCUAUGAAAUUUAAGCAGCCAUCAUUUGGAACAAAGGCUGUAAUUUUCUUCCCAUUCUUUAUCAGCUGAACUCUAGCACACUUUUGGAUAGCAGAAUUCGGCUGCUUAGCUUCUAUGCCUCUGCGAGAGGAAAUCAAUCUAAUGUCAGUCCCCCAAACAUAAGCAACAUCGAACAGUAUUAAAAAUCAGAAAGAAUAACAAGUAACAUCAUUUGGCUUACAUCUUCUCUAGGACAAUAGGACAAUACCAUUGGCACGCGAAGAACCAGCAAAGGGUUUUUUUCCACUCAUUGCCAAGAUGACUUUUCUCGUAUGCUUUAUCUGCCCAUCUUUGCCUCCUCCUGUGGGUUUUGAGCUUGCGCCCAGAUCCCAUACCACGAGUCUUCCUGUGAUAGAACUUAAGAAUGUUCAAAGAUCAUCAUCUAUCUUCACUCAAACAAAUUCCCUUGCUGGUCACUUCAUUUUUUGGGGUGACUUCAAAUUCCACUUCUUAUUAUGCACAUCGAAAUCUAACAUCAACCAUUCAAAAUUUUGCUAGAGCCGUGCAUCAUUUUCCUUUCAGUAGGCCACUAUAUGUGCUAACGAGAAUCUCAAUUAAUUUUAAUUAUAGUCAUAGACAAGCACAUUUUCUCCUUGCCACAGAAUAAGACUGAAUGAACAACAUCACUGUCCUUUGUUCUGAAGCAAUCAACCAAUGAGAAAAAUAAGUUCAGGAUCUCUUUCGUGUUAGGCGGUUCCAAGUAGACAAGUAGUAAAGUACCGACAAGAACCCAUGAGGACCAAAUAAAAUUAAAAGUCUGCAGUCGAUACAAUCAAAAGAACCUAAACAAGGCAGUCAUCAUUCUACACGCUACUUACGGUAUUGAAAAUGUGAGUGGUAUUAUUGCCUUCCAUGUGAACUUGUUCACAAUGAUACAAGUCAGGCAGGCAACAAAAUACAACCUUAGCUACAACAGACUCAAGGUCCUUUUGUCACUCACUCACUCACUCAUCAUCAUACACAUGACGUGAUAACUCCAGGAUAGCGAGCAAUAUAAAGGAGUUACAAAUUCCAACUCCGAAUUCCUCAAAAUUCUGAUGUUUCUUCUACUCGGGCAAAGAAGAUUUGUCAUUUUAGUGCACGGGAAAAACCUAACUUUCAACAAUAUCAUUGUUAGAACCGGUAUUCAUCGAUCAUAACUGCAUCCAAUUCUAUUAAAAUCACAAAAAUCGGAAUCCCAAUCAUCAAACUCGUUUCUUUUCUUCUCCGAUUCUCCUAAAAACCUAAAGCAACUAAAGCACCAUAUCGAAGUAAGCAAAACAUAAUUCACCCCUCAAAAAAACAAGAUUGGGAACCCAACCCAACGAACACAAAGAACAUACAAGGGAAAAGGCAGGUGAAUCAAGAAGGAUCCGAUCGAGUUCCCGGCAGAACACAAUCCAAACACCAGACAAGCAUUUCAAACGUUGCAUUCCGAAUUGAUGAGGCAAUCGAGAACAAAAUUAGUAUCGUUGCCGCGAAAACUCACCCCGUAUCGUCGGACGCCGAAGCUCGCUUUCCUCUCCGGGAGAUGCGGAGGAUCCGAAAGCGCGGGUGCGGUGGAAGCCCCAGCCGCUCCAUUUUAUAAACGAUCCAAGUAGGGUAGACUGGGCGUACCCAUGGGCCACGCGAGAACCCAUGGCCCGAACCAGAAAUAUCCGGCCUUGAUUACAUUAAUAUGUCCAUUCGAAUUAGACUCGAUCUUCGUCUCGGUUCCCGCAUGGUCAACGCUUAUCAAGCCUAGUCCGGUUUGGCUCCGUGCGUGGCGUCAGUCAUCUUCCACUAAAUUGAAUUAAGGUAUAAAAAUUUUCCACUCAGAAAAAAUCUUUUUUUUUUUUUAAAUACGAAAAAUCAUUUUGCUCAUGACCUCCUGUCGGACCCGCCUCCACCUCACAUCACCGCCUUGCGCGGCCCCUGUGCCAUCCUGCACUGCCCCUCACGCGUUGAGACGGUGAUACGUCCGACGAGGGCCAGGCGCUAGUAGCGGAACCCUGCGUGAGGGUUGCGGGUGAGGCGCGUAGGGGUGGGGCCAGUGGGGUCAACGGAGGUGACGACGGCCCUCCUGCGCGGGCUAUCGGCGAAGGCGGGUCCGGCAGAAAAAUAAUAAUAAUAAUAAUAAUAAUAAUAAUAAUUUUUCAAAUUUGCUAAGAGCACUUGAUGAGACUUGGUGAGUCGCCGCUCGUCUCCUUUCCAAGCGUGGGGCAGAGAGAUAAAGAGUUAGGAGUUGAGGCUUGUGUGAUGGUUGUUCUCGGAGCAAGAUAUCAUUUAUUAAUGUUUCGUCAAAUAACUAUUGAUUGACUUGUUCGAGAAAUAUUUGCUAAUUUAAAUUGCUUGUGUUGCAAUUACAUGAACAGCACGACGAUCGGUAGCAAGUUUAUCAGCCCUUUUGUGCGAUAAUUGGGUCGGCGCAUCACUGCUGUGAUGUACUUUCGCCCAUCUAAUUCGGUACACUUUUUUAAAUUCAUUUCAUCAACAACACGUAAGAGUAACAUCCAAUUUGCUUCCAUUCAUCCAUCAACACAUCUAUCCAGUGGCUUGGACGAUUCGAGAAGCAAGACACGGAUAGAAACUUCCAACGGUGGAACUAAAUUUCAAUGCGAUUUCCAUCCGUCGACACGCACGAAUGUUUCUUGAUCUCCGAAGAAGAAGAACCAUGGUCUUCUAGUUCGUACUAGAGAGAUUGAAUUCUGCUUUGAAGUCCAUGGUUUACCGGAGCUUUAGGCACCUCCGCCUGCAAAAUCGUGUGGUAACUAUCAGAAACCACUGUGAAAUGCAUAAAAAGAAUGGCUGGCAUCGGGUGGCACCACGCCAUGGGAAGUUAGUAUGUUAAAAGCACCACCAGUUGAUGCAGCUCUAGGAAAAUCGAGUUAAUUAAAAAGCUUGUGUCAGUCAUGAUCUUUGGGUAGCCACCCAUCCAUAUCUUAUCGGAUCUAUGCAAUUCUUAUUGUUUUAGCAUGUCGGUCCCGACGAAUGGGUGGGGGGAAUGGAGUUUAGAAUGGCAUACAUGGAGAUCAAGCAUGGUUGGAUCGAGGCAGAGAGAGGGAAGUUCUCGGCGUCAUAUGAAACAGGAGCCAGACAAGGAUGAGGAGUUUGUACAGAGUAGAGUUGGGACGAUGUCCUCGGUGUCAUGCAAAGCGAGAACCCAUGUUGGUUUUUCCGGUUGGCAUUUUGCCCAGCUGAUAGCAACCGUUCCGACUUGGUCUCGUGAUGAUGCUUGAACCGGGUAAGGUGGUCUCGGAACGAGGGAGAAGACAAGGCAGGCAGUGAUCCGUCAUCAUGGAUGAGGCACAACAGCGACUGUGAUCUUGGUUUCCAUACACGAAGAUAAUUAGGUCGAGAAAGAAGGAUCAGUGGACUCUUUUCCGGUCUUCAAACAAGCCCGUGCACUCUUUAGCAGUGGAAAGUGGAUGUACGGCUACCUCUGUUCCUCAUCGGCGCCACCGUCCCGGCUGCCGGAAGACUUGUAAUUUGGAUACGGCACCCGACCCGACUCGAUGUGCUCGAGGUCCUCAAGCAGCAGCUCGUAGUGUUUCUUGACCUCUUCGGCGGUCUUCCCUCCGCCGACGGCUCGUGCCACAUUCUGCCAGCGAUCCGGGGUGUCUUUGUCGUACACCGCGAGAGCCCGCUCGAAGAGCUUGUUCUGCUGCGGAGUCCACGAGGAGGUCGAGCCACGUGAGAGCGAUCCCGACGCCAUGUUGCCGAGAGGAUGACUCGAGAAUGGAACGAGGGGACUCCAGAAUCGAAUGGGAGAUUGGAAAACGGGUGUGUGUGCGAGUGUGUGUAUAUAUAUAGUGUCAGCACUGUUUGCCGGAGGGCUGUUGUCGGCAUGAGGAAACUGUUGCCAGGGUUAUCUUUAUAAGCAGCAGCUUGCUUGAGAACCACGAGAUGGAGCUUAAGAGCGAGGGACAAGGAACAAGGAGGGGAGAGCUUUGCUGCGUGUGAGGUAGGGACAUCAUCAUCGACAACACAAGGCUCAAGGAGGAGAGAGGAAAGGUCCCUCUCUCAUCUUUUUUUUUUUUUUUUUGGUCUACCUAUCUAAAUGUAGACUUUCCAGCAAUUUAAGCUCUAUAAAUUCCUUUGUGAUCACUUAAUUAUUCAUAUUUCAUGAUCUGUUGUAGCAUGCCCUGGAGCUCUUGAGAGUCUGCUUCCCCAAGACGUUAUGAUCGAUGACUAUUAUUUUUGUUUGUCCUGUCCCGUAGAUGGGUGGUUUUCAUAAUUCAUAAUUAAAUUAAUGUAUAUGGCAACUCAAAAGAGAUCAGUUGCAUUCAAGAAAUAAUGAUUCUUAUUAUACCUUCCCGAGGAGGAGGAGGGUACGUCAGGGGCAUGAUUCCCUUUGCCAUGUCUUUAUAUGAUUCUACUAAUCUUGAUUACGUCGAUGGAUCCUGCACAACUUGCGUAAAAAAGCAGUAGCGUUGUCGCGACCUCAUCCCGUUUCCUUUUUGCAGUCGUAAAAGAUGUGGUUCGGGAUCGAGAUGAUCGCGUAGCCUACCCCGUUUCUUCUAUCUUCUCCUCUGUUUUAUUAUUAUUAUUAUUUUUCGCUUUAUGGAACGAUUUGAUAGUCUUCCCUUUACCGUGGGAAGUCCUUCCGCAUGAAUGGACGUAAGUGGACUCAACUCUCACUGACGAAAGCUGUCCUACGUCCUAUUCUUCUUCCAAAGGAAGGAUAUCGACGUCCGAAGCGCUGCCUGCCCACCUCGGCUCAAUUUUUGUGGUCACACCAACUUCACGAUCCCAAAUCCAGCUUUGGCUGCUCUCUUCUACUUUUAGAUCAAUGUUUUUGAAGGGGUUAGUGGUCUGAUAACUCCCCUGAAAAACAAACUUACGAUUUGUGGGGAGAGGGAAACAUUUGCUGCGUGUUACACAGAUCAACUGGGAAGUAAAGAAGGCUGUGCUACUGUAGAUAGUAGCACUAUCUACAGUGCUACAAUCAGUAUCAUAGAAUGCAGUGCAUCGACAUGCGAUUGUUGGUCGAUUCAAGAGAUAAAAAACACUUGAUCGAACAGUCGUAGACAAGUAUAAUACCAUGAAUGCACGAACAAAAAAUGUGUCGGAAAAUGGUCGCACACGCACUUCGACUGUCAUUUCAAGAACUUAGUGAAUGAAUACUACCAUGAAUCACAGGAGCGAUCAUUUACGCGAGGCUCUUCAAACGAUAUGGAUUAUUAGGGUUGCUUGGUCAGCGGAGAGAGGAAAGAUUUGGCCACGCUACGUAUGUUCUCGGAGCAGCGGCGAGAAUGAAUUGCUUCCUAUGUAAUGACUGACAAAAGCAUGUGUGAGAUGACUGACAACGAUGAAGACGAGAAUGAAUCACUUCCGCCUCUGAGAUCUCAAAGUCCACAAACCCCAGCCGCCAAAGAUACACCAACCAUCGAGUAACCAAGUACUCGGAUACAACAGAGAAAUAUCGAUUCAUUCACAUGCUGGCUUAGUGUCAAAGGUGGUCAAGCAGAUUGCGAAUGCCUGAAACGCAGAGAGUGGAUAUCGAUAAUCCAUAGUGAAGAUGUCCUUUCCUAUCUUACCGAAUUGGAGGAUAACCUUCUCUUGCUCUGCCAGAGACACCCCAAAGGAAGGAUCUACGGCCGCCACAAGCUGAAAGUUCUUGACGGAAGCCACUGUGACUCGUCCCUUGAAGUCCAAGCACCAGCAUUGGAGCUGCUCGUGCCACCUCGGGGAUUUGUUCUUGAGAAUCAGCGGGACCGAACCGGUGGGACCGUCGGAAGGAAAACCCCUUGCUGAUUCCUCGUCUUUUGCGGCUGGUAAACUCGAGAGGGGUUGUUGCCGUUCGUCGACGGAUUGGAGAAAGCUGGUGGGUGCCGCGACACCCCCCCGGCCUUCCCGGAGGGAGGAGGCUGGAAUCGAGUGCAUGGUGCAUUGUAUUCUUCUGGGCCCUCGGGUUCGAAGGACGUUAAAUUCGUAGGAGACGGUAGCAACGUCGUAAUUUCCAGCCGGAAGUCUCGGGGACACUUGCUUGGAAGGGGCCCUUGGAUUUGACGGAAUGCUCGAAGAAGAAACAGGGGCAUCAUGAGGACACUGGCUAUCGUAAACCAUGAACUUGGUCCCCAAGAAAUUUGACCUGGUUAAGAUCCAAAAGACGAUGGAUCAGAGAAUCAACAAAGCAAAAGGAACACAGAUAAGAGAGAGAGUCAACAAGCGGCUGAGAUCACUUGCCUCACUCUUCCGAUGUAGGCGUUACUAGCUCGAGAGAAAUUAUCGGAGGCCAGCGAGAUGACAAAAUCGGUGCUAGUUGCACGUCUGGUCUUGCGGGCUGCAAGCAAAAGCUUGUCCUUCUGGCUCUGCAGCGCUAUCAUCAUCACGGAACGUAACCAGCGAGCGUCAGUAAUGGAACAGAUUGGCAGCACCGAAUCCCAAGCGACAAAAUAAAAAUCUAAUUCGUCUCAUCGGCAGCUACCGAUAGAAGGAACUAACAAAGAAAUUGCUCCAGUCGUCAGUCAGUGACUGUAAAACCAGGGUUUGUAUCGAAUCACAGCAUCGUUGCUGAUGUCUAUGGCUACGGAGAACAAAUGAUGCAACACCAAUUAUGCACUGGUGUUUGAAAACUAGGAAUAGAUUGGAUCGGUGCAAGGAAGGUCUCUCAGGACAUCAGCUUGGUUCAGACAAUCAUUAAAGCAAGCAAAGGAGCGAUGCGAGGAAAUUGCUUACAUGGGGUCAGACCCAGGUACACACGGAAGGUGGAUGUCGUUCUCUCCCUCCUCAUGAAGCACUGAAUCGGAUGAUCUCGUGGUCCGGGCUGAUUUUGAACACACAACCCACAGAUCGAUUAAGAAGAUGAUCAGUAAGGAAUAAAAAAUUUGCAGAGGAACUGUUGCAAAACCAAUUCGAGCUCCGAAUCUAAAAGCGUCGAGGCAAUCAGACAAGGCCAACCUGCUUGAGAGAAAGAGGAAAGGUGAUCCGGCCACAUUGCUCCGGUGACUUGACCACCUCUUUUGUGAUGCCACGCCACCAGCGGCACACGGCCGCGCACGCCAGCACAUGCCUCCUCGCCGGCCACGAUACCUCGCUUGCCUCCACCCUGCGGAUGACAUCAAACAGCAGUUCCGGCGGCAGGUUCACCCAUCUACCCUCCGGGGCACCUUCGCGACCGUGCCCCAUCGUUAUCGCUCCGCCGCCGCCUUCGCCUUCUCCUUCGCCUCCUCCCCCGAUCCCAUCCGGCAUCUCCUUGAGCUCACGGACGAGACUCUUUAACGGCAUUUCCACCACCCUCCCCUUCUUUCCAGAUCCGGGAGUCGCGGGAUUCGUAUAAACAAGAGAAAUUGAGCGGGCGAACCUCGGAUCGAUCAGAUCGAUGAGGAAAAGGGGAAUUCUUGGCUUUUGAGUCUCACUUCUUCUGGCUAUGCAUCAGGGCGGACGACGGAUAUCCCCUUCGAGGCCUUUCCCCCUUGUAAUUCGUGCCUCUUCCUUCCCUCGAAAGAAAUUUGAUAUCUUCCGAAGCAAAAUCCUUUAGUAUUUUUUUUUUGUCAUCCGAUCAAGAAGCUAAGUUGGCUCAUCGAAGGGGCAAAAGAACCUCUUUUUGCGUUGCGCUCACAUCCCACGGAAACACAAAAAACAAAGGUGGCGCUCAGCUCCCACCUUUACCGUCUGUCACAUGCACGGCAUGUAUCCGAUCCACGAUUGCAGCCGGUGUCGGUCGAUGGACGUUGCCUCUUUCGAGCGCCCGAAGAGAGCAACCAACCAACCAACCAUUUUCGAGUUGAGAUGCAAAGCUAGUGAUUUUGGCAUUUAUCACUUCCCUUGAAUUCAAGAUUUGGUUGGUUAUCAUCUAAAUUAGAAACUUGCAAACACGCCCUGUAGUUAGUUAAUCUUCGUUUAUAAUGACACCGUUUAGAAAUAUAAAUGUUAUGUUAUUUUGCUAAAAUAAAAUCGAGGUAACUAAUUAGUAUGUAUAUACAUACAACAAUCAAUCCAUGGAAAUGGAAACUUAGCGCGAAUCUACAGAUAUCGGGCGUAAAGAUGAUGAUGAUGGAACAUCCACCCGUUUUUCUCUUUUUUAAUUUGUGCAUAAAAAAAUAAUAAUCCCUUCGAAUACCAAACAAAAUUGUAUUCCAGCUGCUCCUAUCAUGGAAGGAAUAGGGAUAGAUAGCUAGCUGAUCAAGCUAUUCGAUGGAUGUCAAGUCCCAACCAUCAUGAUUCAUUCAUGUGGGGAUAACACAUGACGCAUACAGGAGAGGCCCAUCCCAUGCCCUUUAUCCUAUUAAGAUCAACCGGGGAAGAAGCCAGCCACAUCCACCGGUUCAAAACAAAAAAGCCUGGCAUCUCGCACCUCCUUUGUGGAGCCCACAACCAUGUUCAUGUUAACUAGUAGUUGGCCAAUCCUUGGAGUUGGUCCCUGGUCUUUGUUGUGUCCUAAGAACAACAUGAAGUUUCUCAGAUUGAGACAUUCAGCAAGCAAGGAUCUGUGUGCGUCUUGCUAACCAAGUUUAGUUACAUGACAAUCAAUUCCACCUUGAAAACCAAAAAGCAAUGUAGGUUAACAAAUACAUCUUUAUUUGAGUGUUGGCUGAAGAGAUUUGUACAAAAAAAGGAAGAAAGCCAAAGCCAGAACAGCAAGGAGGCAACUAAUGAACAAGGAGGUAACAACAGUACCAACCUAUUAAAGUGGAAGAGAAAAAAAAAAAAGAAAAAAGUAUUCACACACAAAUAACUGUUCCUAGCAAAUACAGUAGUAAUUCCGAGCGAUCGAUAAUGGCAAUAUCUGAAUGCCCUCCUUAACCCACACCAGUGAUCAAUCCUUUGAUAUGUUGCUGCUACUUCCAGGACUCUUUUUAGCUCCAUAUCUCUGAUUCACAACCGAUGACACCAAAUUUAAUUGAAAUUUUGACAGAAAUAAGAUGUUCACAAAAGAACAUGAACAUAGACAGAAACAUGCAUCUCAAAUAACACAACUUCACAACAUUUAAAGCCAUAGCAGAUUGCAUAAAAGGGAUGCAUCCAAAUGGCCCUCCGACAAAACACAAAAGUGUUUUUCACCCUACAUCGGUAGCCAAAUGUUUAUUAGUACUUCCAUGACAUGGCACCAGAUGUUUUAGAGCUGGGUGGCCUUUGUGUGUUUUGACACCCAAUCAUUCAAAUUUCAUAAUGAAGUACCAUCCAAACUACCAAAAGGAUAGCCAAG